CAGUCGCCGCGGGAAUACGUAGGGCGCAAGCGUUAUCCGGAAUUAUUGGGCGUAAAGAGCUCGUAGGCGGUUUGUCGCGUCUGCCGUGAAAGUCCGGGGCUCAACCCCGGAUCUGCGGUGGGUACGGGCAGACUAGAGUGAUGUAGGGGAGACUGGAAUUCCUGGUGUAGCGGUGAAAUGCGCAGAUAUCAGGAGGAACACCGAUGGCGAAGGCAGGUCUCUGGGCAUUAACUGACGCUGAGGAGCGAGAGCAUGGGGAGCGAACAGGAUUAGAUACCCCCGUAGUCCCUGUCUCUUAUAC
rnacentral:rRNA from 1 species